rnacentral:piRNA from 1 species
UGAGCCUUCCCGUGCAACCUCCUGUGCCA